AAGACCUUGCACUUUUGGAGCGGCCGAUGUCUGAUUAGCUAGUUGGUGGGGUAAAGGCCUACCAAAGCUUCGAUCAGUAGCUGGUCUGAGAGGACGGCCAGCCACACUGGGACUGAGACACGGCCCAGACUCCUACGGGAGGCAGCAGUGGGGAAUUUUGGACAAUGGGGGCAACCCUGAUCCAGCCAUGCCGCGUGAGUGAAGAAGGCCUUCGGGUUGUAAAGCUCUUUCAGCCGGAACGAAACGGUUACGAUUAAUACCCGUAACUACUGACGGUACCGGAAGAAGAAGCACCGGCUAACUACGUGCCAGCAGCCGCGGUAAUACGUAGGGUGCGAGCGUUAAUCGGAAUUACUGGGCGUAAAGCGUGCGCAGGUGGUUUUGUAAGUCAGAUGUGAAAUCCCCGGGCUUAACCUGGGAACU
rnacentral:rRNA from 1 species